AGUGGCGAACUGGUGAGUAACACGUGGGAAACCUGCCCAUAAGCGGGGGAUAACACCUGGAAACAGAUGCUAAUACCGCAUAACAACUUGGACCGCAUGGUCCGAGCUUGAAACAUGGCUUCGGCUAUCACUUUUGGAUGGUCCCGCGGCGUAUUAGCUAGAUGGUGGGGUAACGGCUCACCAUGGCAAUGAUACGUAGCCGACCUGAGAGGGUAAUCGGCCACAUUGGGACUGAGACACGGCCCAAACUCCUACGGGAGGCAGCAGUAGGGAAUCUUCCACAAUGGACGAAAGUCUGAUGGAGCAACGCCGCGUGAGUGAAGAAGGGUUUCGGCUCGUAAAACUCUGUUGUUAAAGAAGAACAUAUCUGAGAGUAACUGUUCAGGUAUUGACGGUAUUUAACCAGAAAGCCACGGCUAACUACGUGCCAGCAGCCGCGGUAAUACGUAGGUGGCAAGCGUUGUCCGGAUUUAUUGGGCGUAAAGCGAGCGCAGGCGGUUUUUUAAGUCUGAUGUGAAAGCCUUC
rnacentral:rRNA from 1 species